UAAUAGAUACGCUGUCCAAAGACAGCAGGUGCAGUUAAAACUGCUUAAAGUUUUCGCCUGCCGAGGAACGAGCGUAAAGUUAUAAUUGUGUAAUUUUGUGCCUUUCCUCUUCUAACAGGGGAAAGGCUUUUUUAAUAC
rnacentral:sRNA from 1 species